rnacentral:rRNA from 1 species
GACGAACGCUGGCGGCGUGCUUAACACAUGCAAGUCGAACGGAAAGGCCCUGCUCUUGUGGGUUUCUCGAUUGCCGAACGGGUGAGUAACACGCGUGUAACCUCCCCUUGUCUUUGGGGUAACUUCACGAAACUGGGGCGAAUAUCGCAUAGGAUCUCCUGCUCCAUGUGGUUGGAUGGUAAGUUUCGGCGGUUGGGGAUGGUCUCGCGGCUUAUCAGCUUGUUGGUGGGGUAGUGGCUUACCAAGGCUUUGACGGGUAGCCGGCCUGAGAGGGUGACCGGCCACAUUGGGACUGAGAUACGGCCCAGACUGCUACGGGAGGCAGCAGUGGGGAAUAUUGCACAAUGGGCGGAAGCCUGAUGCAGCAACGCCGCGUGCGGGAUGACGGCCUUCGGGUUGUAAACAGAUUUCGCAUGUGACGAAGAGUGAGUGACGGUAAUGGGUAAAGAAGCACCGGCUAACUACGUG